UUGAAGGAAAAGAUGAUGAGG
ensembl:piRNA 21ur-9589 ncRNA